rnacentral:misc_RNA from 1 species
UAACUACGUGCAGCCGAACUUCAGCACAGUGUUCACACUCUAACCGCCGCCGCCAUGUCACCAUCCUGAGACACAGAGAGAGACACAGUUGCUGCUGGUUUCACACAACACUUUGAUAUGGACGCACGGGUGCUGUUGUUGGUCCUCUGUCAGUGUGUCGUCUCACGGAGUCACCUGAACGAAGAGUACUACUUCGGGCAGUUCCCAGCGGGGUUUGUGUGGGGGGCCGGCACCUCGGCCACUCAGACAGAGGGAGCAUGGAGAACGCAGGGACGAGGCCCCAGUGUUUGGGACACCUACUCACGCGCACCUGGCCGCACCCGCGGGGGCGCCACCCCUGACGUCUCCGCCGACAGCUACAACCACUACAUCGAGGACAUCGAGCUGCUGAAGAGUCUCGGCGUGUCCUCCUACCAUCUGUCGCUGUCCUGGUCUCGUCUCAACCAGGAAGGUGCGGGAACCCUGAAUCAGGAUGGCGUAAAGUACUACACAGAGCUGCUGCAGGCGUUGAGGGACGCCCACAUAGAGCCUUAUGUGACGCUGUACUACUUGGAUCUCCCCGAGGCCCUGGAGAGGACAGGAGGCUGGCUGAAUGAGGACACCGUGGACAACUUCACGGCGUAUGCCGAACAAUGUUUUAAUCUUUUUGGAUCAAAUGUGACGUACUGGGUCACAAUGCAUGACCCGCACACCGUGGCCUGGAGGGGGUACGGCGAGGCGUCCGCUCCCCCGGGGAAGUGGGAACCAGGGACCAAUCCCUACAUCGCCGCCAGACACCUCAUCCUUGCCCAUGCACGUGCUCUAAGUGUAUACAAGAGCUUGGAUGAAUCUGUGUCCGGAGGUCAAAUAGGCAUCUCCUUAAGCACCGACGUGUUCGAGCCCGAAGAUCCGACACACUCAGGCGACCUUCUAAGUGCCGAGAGAGCCAGACAAUUUCACAUUGGAUGGUUCGCCAAUCCCAUAUUUCACGGGCAGUACCCGGAUGUAAUGACAUCUCAAAUCGAGGCUAAAAGUAACCAGAUGGGAAAACCCUCCCGGCUUCCUGACAUCCGGGCAGCUCUUCAGAGUAUUCCAAAUUCGGGUGAAACUGACUUUCUCGUCGUGACCUACACCUCAUCAUAUCACGUGACCCACGAGGAACGGCCAAAUAUUGAAGCGAGUUAUCAGGACGACCAGGACAUCCGUAGGACGGAGAAGUGGUCAGAAGAUGGUGUGAGGAACGCCUUAAAAUGGUUGCAUGGAAAAUACAACGUCACUGUCCACGUAACCGGAAGCGUCGCCACUCACAAUGCGACGCUUAAAGAUGCCCAUCGCAUCCAUUACUUCAAAUGGCACAUUGAUCAAGUUUUGAAAGCAAUAAACCUGGACAGUUGCAACAUCACCGGCUACGUCGCCAGGCCAUUACUGGACGGCUUCCAAUGGUCCGAAGGCUACUGUACCAAAGGAGGACUGUUCUCGGUAGACUUCUCAGAUCCCGCGAGACCACGUACACCACGUGCCUCCUCUCGCCAUUUCUCGCAGAUAGUGGGAGACAACGGGAUCCUGCCCGGGUAUCGCGGUCUUGGGGGCGUGGCGUCCGGCAUCGUGGCGUAUGAGGAUGACACGGAGAUCUAUUUUGACGACUUCCCCGAGGACUUUGUGUGGGCUGCUGCCACCUCGGCAUAUCAGAUCGAAGGAGCGUGGAAUGAGGACGGUAAGGGAGAGAGCAUUUGGGACCGACUGGUGCACACACCUGGCAACGUCUACAACAACGACACCGGCGACGUCGCCUGCGACAGCUACAACAAAUACAAAGAAGACGUGAAGCUCCUGAAGAAUCUGCAUGUGACCGACUAUCGGUUCUCCAUUGCCUGGACCCGCCUGGUGCCCACGGGGAGGAUAGCUGAUGGCGUCAGUGCCGCGGGGAUCACCUACUACCACAGACUGAUUGAUGAACUCCUUGCCAACGGGAUUCGACCCAUGGUCACUCUGUACCACUGGGAUCUGCCUCAAGUCCUCGAGGACAGCGGUGGCUGGCUGAACGAGUCGAUUGUUGACGACUUUGUGGAUUAUGCCAAUUUGACCUUCUUUGAAUAUGGCAACAAGGUGCCCUUCUGGAUUACAUUCAACGAGCCGCCAAUCAUCUCCAUCCUCGGGUACGGGGAGGGGGCGUUUGCUCCCAAGAAGAGGGACCUGACGCAGAAUCCCUACAUCGUGGCGAGGCAUCUGAUCCUGGCUCACGCGAAAACUUUUCACCUCUACAAUAACACCUACAGAGCCUCACAGUCAGGCAUCAUUGGCAUCACUGUGAACUAUGGGUGGAGCGAGCCGAGAGACCCCCUGGACAUGGCGGACAUCCAUGCAGCGGAGAGGUCUAUCGAGUUCUACGGGGGAAUAUACGGCCACCCCAUCUACGUGGACGGCGACUUCCCCCCUGUCGUGAAGCAACAGGUGGCCAUGAAAAAUCGGGCUGCCAACUGGACCAGCUCCCCAAGACUGCCGCCAUUCUCAGAGGAGGAGAAGGCACUUGUCAUGGGAACCUACGACUUCCUAGGCCUGAACUUCUAUACAGCCAACAUCGCGUACAACAACGUUCAGAACGUCAGCGACCCCCCCAACAUCUACAACGACCAAGACAAUGGCGCAUACCAGGACCCCAGCUGGCUAGGAUCCGGAUCCGACUGGCUGAAGGUCACACCAUUUGGGCUGCGUAAAAUGCUGAACUGGUUCAAGUACCAUUACAACAACGUACCGGUUUACAUAACCGAAAACGGUGUGUCGGACCGGAAUGGAACCCUGUAUGAUGAACACCGUGUGCGAUUCCUCCGCCACUACAUCAACGAAGUGCUGAAAGCUAUCAAGCUGGACAAGUGCAACGUGAAGGGAUACACAGCUUGGUCUCUGAUGGACAACUUCGAGUGGUUGGCGGGUUAUCGCGAGAUGUUUGGCAUCCAUCACGUCAACUUCUCACAUCCAGACAGACCCCGCACCCCAAAGUCUUCCGCUAAAUGGUAUACAGGUCUCAUCGAUGACAACGCGUACCGACCAGGCUACUCUCGGCCCGGGGGUCGUGGCACUGCCGUCAAGACAGUUAAUGACUUCUAUUAUAGUACUUUCCCUGAAGACUUCAUAUGGGCGGCGGCCUCUUCGUCCUUCCAGAUUGAAGGAGCCUUUGAUGCUGACGGCCGUGGUGAAAGCAUCUGGGACAACUUCGCGCGAGUCGACAACAACCACACGGGGAAGAUUGCAUGUGACAGUUACCACAAAUACCAAGAUGACGUCAAUCUCCUGAAAAACAUGGGGGUCAGUCAUUACCGGUUUUCCAUCGCCUGGUCCCGAAUAUUUCCUGAUGGUACUCUCAGGUCGAAGAACCAGGGAGGAAUCAACUACUACCACCGGUUGAUCGACGCCCUGCUGGUGGCGGGCAUCAAGCCCAUGGUCACUUUGUACCACUGGGACCUGCCACAAGCCCUGCAGGACCAGGGAGGCUGGACCAACGCAUCCAUCAUCGCAAACUUCAGGGAUUAUGCCGACGUUUGCUUUGAAGAAUACGUCGGCAAGGUGGAUUACUGGAUCACCUUCAACGAGCCGUGGGUGUUCACGGUCCUAGGGCUGGGGACGGGCGACAUGGCCCCGGGGCACAGGAAUAUAGGGGACGAGCCCUACCUAGGGGCCCACAACGUCUUGCUGGCACAUGCUGAGGGGUACCACCUGUUUGGCAACAAAUACAGGGCGCAAAAUCCGGAAGUCCAAGUCGGCAUCACCCUCAACAUUGACUGGGCGGAGCCUAAAGACCCCCUCAACCCGGAACACAUCGAGGCAUCGGAGUGGGCGGUGCAUAUGUUCCUGGGAUGGUUUGCGAACCCCAUAUAUGGUAAUGGAGACUAUCCGGAUGUGAUGAAGCGGAGAAUUGCUGCGGUCAGCGCUGCGCAGGGAUUGAACCAGUCCAGGCUACCCGCAUUCACUGAAGCACAGAAGGCGUUCAUCAAUGGCACCUCUGAUUUCUUUGGUUUGAAUCACUACACCACACAGUACGUCAGCAAACAGAAUGAGAGUCUCGCUGGAGAGAGUGCCCCCAACUACUUCCUAGACAGAGGGGUGGACACGGAGUUCGAUCCCCAAUGGAUCAAAUCCGGUUCUUCCUGGCUCCGUGAUGUACCAUGGGGUUUACGGAAGAUUCUGAACUGGAUCAAAAACAAAUACGGGGAUGUGCCGAUCCUCAUCACGGAGAACGGCGUGUCAGAUAGGAGCGGCGUCCUUGACGACCAACACCGCAUACAUUUCUACAGAUACUACAUCAACGAGGUGAUGAAAGCAAUCCACCUGGACAAGGUCAACGUCCGGAGCUACACGGCGUGGAGCAUCAUGGACAACUUCGAGUGGGCCCGGGGCUACACGGAGAGAUUCGGACUGCACUACGUCGACUUCGACGACCCCAACCUCACCCGUGUCCCCAAGGCGUCGGCAGCGUUCUACAGACAUGUGAUACAGGACAACGGGUUCAAGAAAGGUGCACUCACUGACCCCAACAGACAACCACUUUCGCACGAAGACGACUUCCUGUACGAUCAUUUCCCAGAAGGCUUUGCAUGGGGCGCUUUCAGUUCCGCCCUGCAGACGGAGGGUGGCGGAAAUUUGCAUGGGAGGGGUGACAGUCUAUGGGACGUGUUCACAACAACUGAAGACGGCCCCAUGUCCUACCAUCACUACAUGGCCGAUGUACAGAGUCUGAAAGAUAUUGGGGCCAAGGUGUAUUACCUCUCGCUGUCCUGGCCUCGGAUCCUGCCAAACGGUGACUCUGGAAAUAUAAAUCGUGAGGGAAUCAAGUUCUACCACAAGCUGCUGAUGGCUGUCACGGAGGCUGGCAUCCAGCCUAUAGUCACCCUCCAUCACUGGGACGUCCCUGCUGCCUUCAGCAAUGGCUGGCUUAGCGAGGAUAUUGUAGAAGCCUUUGGCAACUAUUCAAGAAUAUGUUUUAAAGAGUUCGGUGGAAAGGUGAAAAUGUGGAUUCCUCUGAAUGAUCCGAACAAAAUGGCGUUGCUAGGAUACGAGCAGGGCAACCACGCCCCUGGUAUUAGAGGCGAAGGUUAUACAGCCGCACAUAACAUGCUGAAGGCUCACGCCUCCGUCUACCGAAUAUACCAGCGAGAGUUCCAACAUUCCCAGGGAGGCAAGGUCGGAUUAGCAGUUCGCUCGGCGUGGUUUAUCCCGAAGACAUCACGUGACCCUGGAGACUGGUUCGGGCAAGCUCUAUCGUUUGCCUACAAAUCUGAUUGGAUGGCUGACCCAGUAUUUUUAGAUGGAAAUUACCCGGCUGUGAUGAGACAGGAAGUCCACUUGAGAAGCAAGUACCGCAACAUGACAUCGAGGCUGCCGGUUCUUACAACGGAGGAGCAGAAAAUGAUAAAAGGUUCUGCGGACUUCCUGGGUAUCAGCUACUACACAGCACACCAGGUGGAGAGGGUCACAAACUACCCCCCGACUGCAGCACCCAGCAUCGCUGAUGACGUGUCCGUCAAGACGUCUGCCGACAACUCUUGGCCCAGGACAAAUCUGGACUGGCUCCGAGUCUACCCGAAGGGAAUCCGUCAAAUCCUGAGACGAGCUAGAGAGCGUUAUGGCAACAUUCCAAUUUACGUCACUGGGAACGGCGUGUCCGACGACCCGGGCACCACCGACGACAAGCUCCGGGCAUCAUACAUUGCGCAUCACACCAAUGAAAUUCUUAAAGCUAUAAAAUUAGACAACGUGGACGUCCGUGGCUACGUCGUUUACAGCCUCCUCGACGGCUUUGAGUGGAGAGACGGCUACAACGUCAGCUUUGGCCUUUUCGCCAUCAACAAGACUGACCCGGCCAGAGCGAGGGUCCCUAAGCUCUCGUCAAAAUACUACUCUCACAUCAUAAAGAACAACGGCUUCGUGUCUCCACCCAUGUCCACGACGGAAGCGCCUGUGAGGACAACAGUGAUAUACAGAAACUGUCCGACUUCACAUGGCACAAAUAUGGUGUUUUCACCAAUAAUAGUUUUAUUCGUGCUCUUCUUGUCUUCAGCACUUUAACUUUUGAUGAGAAAUGACACUUCUUUAUUAACAAUAUGCUAUCAGUAUUCUAGAAAAUGAAGAAGCGAAUAUUUUUUGAAGAAUUGAUGGGGUGCGGUGUGGCAAGGUGGAGGGGAGGGCACUCGCCGUCUGUGAGCUGACAGUACGUAUAGCAGUCACUGAAUCAGCGUGGAAUUAACGGCCAUUCCAAGAGUCGCAGUGAUCCAGGAACUAUAUGUAUUGUAUUGGAUUACGUGGGUUGGUAUAGAUGCAGAUGUUCGCAAGAAGUUUGUAGUGAUUUAUAAACACUUUUCGUAAGAUGGUAUAUUUUUUUACCAAAUGUAAUUAGGAAUGUACAUGUAGUGAAAUUUAAAGUUUCGAUGUUGUGACGUCUAGGAUUGAAGUGCUUCAUCCGUUGUUGUCCUACCGCUUCAUUAAUCAGUGUAUAGCCAGAUCUGUUCCCAGCUGGAGUAGGAUGCUAGAUUGCUACAAAGAUGGAGGACGAUAUUUCAGAUCGGGUGGUUGAAAUACAUGAGCCGGCUGAUGUGUCAUCGCUCAUGUAGCCCCGCACCUGAUUUACAGACCAGUGUGAUGCAGAUGUAAUAUUGUUGAAUGUGACUUGUUACAUUCACACUUACACAACACAUAGUGAGUGCCGUCUAUAGCCAGGUCCUACACUUGGUACUGACCUUCGUGGACUUGUAUUCUUCAGCCCCACCUUGUUUGAUUACGUAUUUGGAUAACGGGCGGUUCGUGACGAGAAGCAUCUAAAUAAUUAUAUUUUGUAUACCGUAAUAUACAUAAAACUAGUUAUCCGUAUUUUGUGCACCUGUUUUGUAAGUAAGCAUGGCAAUAAAGCAACACAUGUUUUUUAUUAUAUUUUCCAUUUAGGAACAUACUAAACCAAUUAUUCUCCACAUCUUUUUCGAAUGGUGCAUAGUCCCCCAAUCGAUACGUAAACACUCGUUGUGUUUGUGGCCAUUGUUAUCAACAUGAUCACAUUGUGGAAUGACUGUGUUAACGUGGCAAUGAAGAAUACAGCUACUUGAUAGGUCUGUUGUUGAGGUUGUGUUCAUGACUGUGUUAACGUGGCAAUGAAGAAUACAGCUACUUGAUAGGUCUGUUGUUGAGGUUGUGUUCAUGUGUUUUCCAUAGUGACACACUGAGUUGCGCAUACAAGGUCGCAGUAUGCACACAAAACCCCUAGCGACUGAGAGCACUGCAAUCAUCAUUGAGGGAAACAAACACUGCCUCGACCCGGGCGUGUUUUAACAGAUUUUCAGGAUAACCAGGGCGUCAUGUUGAUUUUAGUGCCAACGGCAAUUUCAAAUUGAUGCCAAUGAGACCAAUAACUUCAAUACGUACCAUAUAUGGUUGAAUAUUGUUUUAUGAUAAAUUCCCAUCAUUGCUGUAAAGGUGUUGUAUGCGUGGAGGGAGUGUGGGCAGUACCACAUGUAUGUUACCUGUGUUGUACAUAGCAUCAUGGUCUGGUUCAAACCAGUGAAGAUCUAUUGAUGAGAAAGAAUGAAUAAAAUGUAACAAGAAGAA